rnacentral:rRNA from 1 species
GACGAACGCUGGCGGCGUGCUUAACACAUGCAAGUCGAACGGAAAGGCCCUGCUUUUGUGGGGUGCUCGAGUGGCGAACGGGUGAGUAACACGUGAGUAACCUGCCCUUGACUUUGGGAUAACUUCAGGAAACUGGGGCUAAUACCGGAUAGGAGCUCCUGCUGCAUGGUGGGGGUUGGACAGUUUCGGCGGUUGGGGAUGGACUCGCGGCUUAUCAGCUUGUUGGUGGGGUAGUGGCUUACCAAGGCUUUGACGGGUAGCCGGCCUGAGAGGGUGACAGGACACAUUGGGACUGAGAUACGGCCCAGACUCCUACGGAAGGGAGCAGUGGGGAAUAUUGCACAAUGGGCGGAAGCCUGAUGCAGCAACGCCGCGUGCGGGGUAACUGCCUUCGGGUUGUAAACCGCUUUCGCCUGUGACGAAGCGUGAGUGACGGUAAUGGGUAAAGAAGCGCCGGCUAACUACGUG